GUCUACAGCCAUGCCACCCUUAACAAGCCCAAUCCUGUCUGAUCUCGGAAGCUCAAGUAGGGUCCGGCCUGGUUAGUACUUGGAUGGGAGACCACUUAGGAAGACCAGGUGCUGUAGGUG
ensembl:rRNA 5S_rRNA 5S ribosomal RNA